UACGAAGGGGGCGAGCGUUGUUCGGAUUUACUGGGCGUAAAGGGCGCGUAGGCGGCCCUCCUAGUCGCGCGUGAAAGCCCCGGGCUCAACCUGGGAAUUGCGCGCGAAACGGGGGGGCUUGAGUUCGGGAGAGGAGCGUGGAAUUCCCAGUGUAGAGGUGAAAUUCGUAGAUAUUGGGAAGAACACCGGUGGCGAAGGCGGCGCUCUGGACCGAGACUGACGCUGAGGCGCGAAAGCGUGGGGAGCAAACAGG
rnacentral:rRNA from 1 species